rnacentral:rRNA from 1 species
UUGAACGCUGGCGGCAUGCUUUACACAUGCAAGUCGAACGGUAACAGGCCGCAAGGUGCUGACGAGUGGCGAGCGGGUGAGUAAUGCAUCGGAACGUGCCCAGUCGUGGGGGAUAACUACUCGAAAGAGUAGCUAAUACCGCAUACGAUCUAUGGAUGAAAGCGGGGGACCGUAAGGCCUCGCGCGAUUGGAGCGGCCGAUGUCAGAUUAGGUAGUUGGUGGGGUAAAGGCUCACCAAGCCAACGAUCUGUAGCUGGUCUGAGAGGACGACCAGCCACACUGGGACUGAGACACGGCCCAGACUCCUACGGGAGGCAGCAGUGGGGAAUUUUGGACAAUGGGCGCAAGCCUGAUCCAGCAAUGCCGCGUGCAGGAAGAAGGCCUUCGGGUUGUAAACUGCUUUUGUACGGAACGAAACGGCUCUGGUUAAUACCCGGGGCUAAUGACGGUACCGUAAGAAUAAGCACCGGCUAACUACGUG